rnacentral:rRNA from 1 species
GGGGUGGGCGCCUAUAAUGCAGUCGACGAACUCUGGUAUUGAUUGGUGCUUGCAUCAUGAUUUACAUUUGAGUGAGUGGCGAACUGGUGAGUAACACGUGGGAAACCUGCCCAGAAGCGGGGGAUAACACCUGGAAACAGAUGCUAAUACCGCAUAACAACUUGGACCGCAUGGUCCGAGUUUGAAAGAUGGCUUCGGCUAUCACUUUUGGAUGGUCCCGCGGCGUAUUAGCUAGAUGGUGGGGUAACGGCUCACCAUGGCAAUGAUACGUAGCCGACCUGAGAGGGUAAUCGGCCACAUUGGGACUGAGACACGGCCCAAACUCCUACGGGAGGCAGCAGUAGGGAAUCUUCCACAAUGGACGAAAGUCUGAUGGAGCAACGCCGCGUGAGUGAAGAAGGGUUUCGGCUCGUAAAACUCUGUUGUUAAAGAAGAACAUAUCUGAGAGUAACUGUUCAGGUAUUGACGGUAUUUAACCAGAAAGCCACGGCUAACUACGUGCCAGCAGCCGCGGUAAUACGUAGGUGGCAAGCGUUGUCCGGAUUUAUUGGGCGUAAAGCGAGCGCAGGCGGUUUUUUAAGUCUGAUGUGAAAGCCUUCGGCUCAACCGAAGAAGUGCAUCGGAAACUGGGAAACUUGAGUGCAGAAGAGGACAGUGGAACUCCAUGUGUAGCGGUGAAAUGCGUAGAUAUAUGGAAGAACACCAGUGGCGAAGGCGGCUGUCUGGUCUGUAACUGACGCUGAGGCUCGAAAGUAUGGGUAGCAAACAGGAUUAGAUACCCUGGUAGUCCAUACCGUAAACGAUGAAUGCUAAGUGUUGGAGGGUUUCCGCCCUUCAGUGCUGCAGCUAACGCAUUAAGCAUUCCGCCUGGGGAGUACGGCCGCAAGGCUGAAACUCAAAGGAAUUGACGGGGGCCCGCACAAGCGGUGGAGCAUGUGGUUUAAUUCGAAGCUACGCGAAGAACCUUACCAGGUCUUGACAUACUAUGCAAAUCUAAGAGAUUAGACGUUCCCUUCGGGGACAUGGAUACAGGUGGGUGCAUGAUUGUCGUCAGCUCGUGUCGUGAGAUGUUGGGUUAAGUCCCGCAACGAGCGCAAACCUUAUUAUCAGCUGCAGCAUUAGUUGGGCACUCUGGUGAGACUGCCCGAUGACAACCGGCAGGUAGCUGAGGAUGGACGUUCGAAUUCAUUCAUGUCCCCAUUAAUUGAACCUGGGGGC